AUCUGAGGGAGACCAACCUCUUGGAUUCCAAUAUGAGAUUCCUUUUAAGCAUUUAUGGACUUUUAAGAACCUUGGGAGAAAUAUUCUCCCUUGCUAUAAACAUGUUUAUGCUUUACACUCAGCAGGAAGGUUUAUUCAUAAAGAAACAUGAAGUUUUAUUUCUUUAGCUUUAUUUUGUGCCCAGUGUCAAAUUAGUCUUCUGGACCCCUUCUCUUUGUUAUUCCACAACAAUACCCCAUUAAUGAAUUCUUGUUAAAGGGCUUUCAUCAAUCAUCAGCAACCUCCCAAUUUGGCGCAGAUGUUGACACAUCCUAACAGAUAUGUCUUCACCCUUCUGGGAGGUUCUUAACUUGCUGUGAUCUUCACUUAAGGGUGAAUCAUUUUCUCACAUUCCAGAGGGACACGAAAAGGCUAAUUGCACCUUGGGUUCACUUGUCCACUUGAUUUAACAGGACUGGAGCUAACAUUUGCUUGGAUUUGGCACCAUUGAUAGGGAACUGCCUGCUGCGUCCUCCGCUUUGAAGUCACCCUGGUCUUUGGGCCUCCAGCACCUUCUUCAGCAUGUCCAACCCAUCUAAGAGGCGUAUGAUACUGGUGUUCCACUGGGUUAGGAAGAAGCCCCUGACAGAGAAGCCGUGCUCUACCAUCUCGGCCAGACCUUCUGCCUCUGCACCGGCUUGCAACACUCCUCACAUUUCACCCUACUUUACGAGGAGCAAGACACAACCCGCUCCGCUCAGGAGGUCCAGCAGGCGCAAGGUGCUGCAAUUGCCGAAUCUCACCAACCCCAAGUUUUUAAGAUCUGUCAUUGGCAGCGUUGGCCGGAAGAGAGCCCGCAGGCAUGGCAAGCAAAAGAAGACUCCAGCGGGAACAGGAAAAGGAGUGAGGGCUAGGCUAGAGGCAAGAAGGCUCCAAAGCUAUUUGCGGGUUGGGAUUGCUUUGGAAGAUGCCUUCUCACAAUCUCUACCCUUGAACCACGUAAGGACAUAAGAAGUGCCUGCUGGUUGAGGCCACAUUGGCCUGUCUAGUCCAGCAUCCUGUUCUCACAGUGGCCAACCAGAGGCCUGUGGAAACAAGAGCAUUCUGUAUUCCCUUCCUGCAUCUUCCAGCAACUACUAUUCACAAACGUUACUGCCACUGACUGUGGAGGUAGAGCAUAGCCAUUGUGCCUAGUGGCCAUUGAUAGCCUUUCCUGCAUAAAACCAUCCAAGUUGGUGGCCGUCACAGCUUUCUGUGGGAUUGAGCUUCCAGAGGGGUAGCUGAGCAUGCCUGCUGCAGGAAAAGCAGGCAUUAAAAGCACAUUUCUCCCAAAGAAUCCUGGGAAUUGCAGUUUGUAAAGGGUGCUACAAAUUGUAGCUAUGCGGUAGAAGGGUAAUCUACAGUUCCCAGGAUUCUUACAGGGGAGAAGCGAUAAUGCUUUUAAUGUAUGGUGUGUACAAAGCCUCAAAUUAGCUGCACCAGCUCUGUAAUACUAGAGCAAAGAUUAUAAUGCAUAUUGUUGUUGUUGUUGUACUUUUAGAAAUAUUAUAAAACCCAUUCCUGCAAGCCAUGUAGUCUGGAAUAAACUCAGUCACCCCUCCCAUCAUUAAUUGUUUCUAGUAGGUGGGGAGGGGUGUUGGAUCUGCUUCCCUGCCUUGAAGAAAGGUGCAGGUCAGAUGUGUGCCCAGACCUGGCCACGCUUCGCAAGAGAGGGGUGUUGGUUCAAGGUGGCCACGCUGCCUGCAACUUGCACUCCUUCCUGACGUGUCUUCCCCAAACCCCUUCUUCCAGAGACUGUGUUGAAGUUUUCCAUCACGUGGAACACAAACUCGCGGAACUACCUCGAGGCUCAGGCAGUGGUGGAAACCCUCCUCAAGCAUGAGAUGCCAGAGAGCCUCUUGCAAUACAAAGGGAUCAAAGCAGCUGUGGAGUCUCUCCUACCAUACACAGCACUUCCAGAGGCUGGGCCGGUUACUGCAGGCCUCCAUGUUCCUUGAUUUCAUGCAACAAAACAUGAAGUUGCCUGACGCUUGGUGGGACGAUCCAUCAUGGCCAACUGGUCCAGUAUCUCAUCCGACAGUCCCUCAAGAUACUGGUCCCGAAGUGCAGAGUCAUUCCAAGACAAGUCUUGCGCCAACAGCCGAAAUUCCAUGGUGUAGGCGGCCGCAGUGGACUUGCCCUGUUUCAAACGCCUAAUUGCCCGGUUGGCUUGACUCUCCUUCUGGGGGUUGCCGAAUGCGGCCUCCAAAUGGUUG
rnacentral:lncRNA from 1 species